rnacentral:rRNA from 1 species
CCUACGGGUGGCAGCAGUAGGGAAUAUUGCUCAAUGGGCGAAACCCUGAACCAGCAACGUCGCGUGGAGGAUGAAGGUUUUCGGAUUGUAAAAUCCUUUUGUUAGAGAAGAUAAUGACGGUAUCUAACGAAUAAGCAACGUCUAACUCCGUGCCAGCAGCCGCGGUAAUACGGAGGGUGCAGGCGUUACUCGGAAUCACUGGGCGGAACGAGGGCGUAGGCGGGAUAGCAAGUCGGAUGUGAAAUCCUAGGGCUUAACCAUAGAACUGCAUUUGAAACUGUGAUUCUAGAGUAUGGGAGAGGUAUGUGGAAUUCUUGGUGUAGGGGUAAAAUCCGUAGAGAUCAAGAGGAAUACUCAUUGCGAAGGCGACCUGCUAGAACAUAACUGACGCUGAUGCGCGAAAGCGUGGGGAGCAAACAGGAUUAGAUACCCCUGUAGUC